CCCCUUUUCUUUCAGUAACAAAGCGCUUAUAUCAAGGCUGCUGGUUCGCCAGCUACGGCAAUAAACUGUCAGUGCAAUAAACCUAUCGGACCCGGGGGCGGUACCCGGCGCCUCCACCCAAGCCCGUGAGGCUAUCUAUUGGAAAUCUCACGGGUUUCGGCGGGGGCGAAAUAGGAUCGACGAGGGCGUAAAGACUGUGCUUUUGCUCGGCAUUGUACCACCGUUAUCGGGCUGUUCUAAUAGUUGCAAACGACAACUAUGCUAUGGACAACGCUGUCGCCGCGUAAUGCAGCGCCGGUAGUCCACUAAGUCCCGUAGGUUAGCACCUUCAGGCGGGGUUCGAAGGCACCUGGCAACAGAAGCCUUCACC
rfam:Labrenzia alba strain CECT 5096 genome assembly, contig: 0013